GGGCACGGAGUCACUCCAACCCCUGUGACAUACCUAUACGUUGCCUCGGCGGAUCAGCCCGCGCCCCGUAAAACGGGACGGCCCGCCCGAGGACCCUAAACUCUGUUUUUAGUGGAACUUCUGAGUAAAACAAACAAAUAAAUCAAAACUUUCAACAACGGAUCUCUUGGUUCUGGCAUCGAUGAAGAACGCAGCAAAAUGCGAUAAGUAAUGUGAAUUGCAGAAUUCAGUGAAUCAUCGAAUCUUUGAACGCACAUUGCGCCCGCCAGUAUUCUGGCGGGCAUGCCUGUUCGAGCGUCAUUUCAACCCUCAAGCUCAGCUUGGUGUUGGGACUCGCGGUAACCCGCGUUCCCCAAAUCGAUUGGCGGUCACGUCGAGCUUCCAUAGCGUAGUAAUCAUACACCUCGUUACUGGUAAUCGUCGCGGCCACGCCGUUAAACCCCAACUUCUGAAUGUUGACCUCGGAUCAGGUAGGAAUACCCGCUGAACUUAAGCAUAUCAAAA
rnacentral:rRNA from 1 species